CAGCAGCCGCGGGAAUACAGAGGGUGCAAGCGUUAAUCGGAAUUACUGGGCGUAAAGCGCGCGUAGGUGGUUAGUUAAGUUGGAUGUGAAAUCCCCGGGCUCAACCUGGGAACUGCAUUCAAAACUGACUGACUAGAGUAUGGUAGAGGGUGGUGGAAUUUCCUGUGUAGCGGUGAAAUGCGUAGAUAUAGGAAGGAACACCAGUGGCGAAGGCGACCACCUGGACUGAUACUGACACUGAGGUGCGAAAGCGUGGGGAGCAAACAGGAUUAGAUACCCCGGUAGUCCCUGUCUCUUAUAC
rnacentral:rRNA from 1 species